rnacentral:rRNA from 1 species
UUUUAGAUUUUUUUUUUUCUGCUCAGGACGAACGCUGGCGGCGUGCCUAAUACAUGCAAGUCGAGCGGACAGAUGGGAGCUUGCUCCCUGAUGUUAGCGGCGGACGGGUGAGUAACACGUGGGUAACCUGCCUGUAAGACUGGGAUAACUCCGGGAAACCGGGGCUAAUACCGGAUGGUUGUUUGAACCGCAUGGUUCAAACAUAAAAGGUGGCUUCGGCUACCACUUACAGAUGGACCCGCGGCGCAUUAGCUAGUUGGUGAGGUAAUGGCUCACCAAGGCAACGAUGCGUAGCCGACCUGAGAGGGUGAUCGGCCACACUGGGACUGAGACACGGCCCAGACUCCUACGGGAGGCAGCAGUAGGGAAUCUUCCGCAAUGGACGAAAGUCUGACGGAGCAACGCCGCGUGAGUGAUGAAGGUUUUCGGAUCGUAAAGCUCUGUUGUUAGGGAAGAACAAGUACCGUUCGAAUAGGGCGGUACCUUGACGGUACCUAACCAGAAAGCCACGGCUAACUACGUGCCAGCAGCCGCGGUAAUACGUAGGUGGCAAGCGUUGUCCGGAAUUAUUGGGCGUAAAGGGCUCGCAGGCGGUUUCUUAAGUCUGAUGUGAAAGCCCCCGGCUCAACCGGGGAGGGUCAUUGGAAACUGGGGAACUUGAGUGCAGAAGAGGAGAGUGGAAUUCCACGUGUAGCGGUGAAAUGCGUAGAGAUGUGGAGGAACACCAGUGGCGAAGGCGACUCUCUGGUCUGUAACUGACGCUGAGGAGCGAAAGCGGGCGG